rnacentral:lncRNA from 1 species
AGGUUAAAAAUGCUUUCCACUUGAUCCCAGAGAUAACCCCAUAGAGAGAUAAUAGGCAUGCAAAUAAGGAAGCAGAAAUUCAGAGAAGUCCCUUGGUCAGGUGCAGGGCUGAUAUCAGAGUCAGUUAUUCCCAGCACUAACUUAUCCUCUAAGUUUCUCUAGAUAUCAUACACUUUAGCUGGUUCUAUGUAGUUAUCAUCACAGUACUACCCCCUGCCCCACCCUUAAGAAUAUUUAAGACAUUUUUUUGAGGACUUCUACAAUGUGAACAAUGUUUCAAGAACUACCACAGUUUGGAAACGUAGACAAAGUGUCAUUUGCUUCUCUAUGGUUUUAAGUGUUAAGUAUACUGUAAUGCUUCUUUCUUACAGUAAACAUCAAACCCCAAAUGGUACUGGGAAGAAGUGCAGCAUGUUUCAUUGUAGUCUGUGAUAAGAAGAAUUAGAGUCAAGACUUAGAUAUAUUCUGGAAAAAAAGUUAAGCACUUUUUAACCAAAGUUCAGGAAGGAAGAGUGUUGUCAUGUUUUGUGCGUUCACAUGUUGUAAGAAAACUGUUUAGUGGAAAUGUGGGUAAAUUUCUCACAGCACAGCUUUUCAGACUGAAUGUGACUUCAGUGGGGCUCUAGAAGAUUUCAUUCUCUAAUCUUCUGGCACAAUGACCACAAUGACUCACUUUGAUGUAAUUUACUUGGAACAGAAAAAGCAAAGAGUUGAUUUUUUUUUUUAACCCUAAAGUUGUCAAAUAUGUAAUACUGGUGAAUUUCAUUAUUGACAAUUUGUCAUGAACAUGCAUUUUUCUCAUACAGCAUUGAUUAAUAAGCCAAAUUUGAAUCCUGGGUAUAUUGGGAAUUAUUCUGUCAUGAUAUUAAAGGAAUGCCACUGUCUCAGACAGGUUGGAACUAUAUAUUUUGAAAUGAACUUUUAUUUACCACUUUCUACUUUGCAAUACUUUUAUAUCUUAGUUGCAUGAUACAAACAGUAUUAAAAAAUCCUAGUUUGAACUAAAAAUCAAACUUGGACACAAUUUGUGUAUACUAAUCAUAAAGGAUAAAUAUUUAUGGAUAUGUACAAUCUAAGUACAGUAAAUAGUACAUAACAACCAUACCAAAUCCUUCAGAUCACAGAAUUAUUGGUGAUUUAUAUCCAUUUCCUUACAGAACUCUGGGCCAUACAAUAAAAAUUUGAUGCCUUUCAGAAA